rnacentral:sRNA from 12 species
GAGUCCCUAUCUUCUUCGAAUCCUUGCGUUCCACGUGAGGGGUUGAUGUAGAAAAGACGGGGUCGU